rnacentral:rRNA from 1 species
AACGAACGCUGGCGGCAGGCCUAACACAUGCAAGUCGAACGCUCGUAGCAAUACGGGAGUGGCAGACGGGUGAGUAACACGUGGGAACCUUCCCUAUGGUUCGGAAUAGCUCAGGGAAACUUGGGGUAAUACCGGAUAAGCCCUUCGGGGAAAGAUUAUCGCCAUUGGAUGGGCCCGCGUCGGAUUAGCUAGUUGGUGAGGUAACGGCUCACCAAGGCAACGAUCCGUAGCUGGUCUGAGAGGAUGAUCAGCCACACUGGGACUGAGACACGGCCCAGACUCCUACGGGAGGCAGCAGUGGGGAAUAUUGGACAAUGGGCGCAAGCCUGAUCCAGCCAUGCCGCGUGAGUGACGAAGGUCUUCGGAUUGUAAAACUCUUUUGGCGGGGACGAUAAUGACGGUACCGCAGAAUAAGCCCCGCUAACUUCGUGCCAGCCGCCGCGGUAAG